rnacentral:misc_RNA from 1 species
AUUUUAAGGUACUGGGAUGCUAGGGUCCCUCUUCGUCCCUCCCUCCCUCCGCCCUGCUUGUCUUUCAGUAUUGUUUUUAUAUUAUAUUUUGGACUUGCAAAGAAAAAAUGGGAAUUUCUGAUGCUUAAAUUGAAAAUUCAAGAUAAAUUUACUCGAUCUUGGUGGUUUUUUGAUAAUUUAUUUGUUGGUUCUCAAGCUUGUUACCGUCAUAUGCUGAACCAAAGAAAGUACUUAAUUAGGCUUUAUUGUAAGCUCAAAGAGGCACUAAUGGCUUUUGCUUUGACUCAAUUUAUAAAGUUUGUUACAAUCUUUCAACGCUAGAAGGUGGUGUUCAUUCAAACAUUAAUUGAUAUAUCUUUUUUAACUUCUGUGAAGAAAAAUGC